AGUAACAAUGGCUGACUGUGCAUUGAAUAUGGUGCAGUAUAAUUGCCAGCGGGCGUAUGCAAUUAUGUGUGAUCUUGGUGAGAUGAUGGGUAAACGUGGUGUGAGCGUAGCAUUACUGCAAGAACCGUAUGUUAGGAAUGGGCGAGUGUGUGGAUUACCUACAGGAAUGAAUGUGAUCACAAGUGGGGAUACAAAUGUAAAAGCGGCAAUUGUGGUGAACAACUCCAAACUGGGGUUGAUGCGCGUGGAAGAGUGUACAAAUGAACAUGGUGUUUGCGUAUGGCUGAAGGGGGACUUUGGAGAAUUGUAUGUUGUGUCGGUUUACUGUCAGCAUGGUAAAGCGAUUGAGCCGUACUUGGAAUAUAUGGAUAGGUUGUGUGACGUGACGAAAGGGAAACGAGUGCUCAUAGGAAUGGAUGCGAAUGCUGUCUCCCCAUUAUGGUUUAGUAAGGGAAACAUUGGUGGCAGGGCGAAGGAAUUGCGUGGAGAAUCCUUGAGGAUUGGAUUACUGGUAAUGAUAUGAUUGUGUUGAAUGAGCCGAGUGAUGAAUACACUUUUAGUGGCCCUAAUGGAGAGAGUGAUAUUGAUGUGACAUUGAUGAAUGAGAAAUGUGCGGACUACCAUUUUGAAUGGGAAGUCAUGAAUGAGUGGGGUAUUAGUGAUCACAAUGUGAUACGAAUAUGCAUGAAGUACGGAUAUGCAUAAGCGUCGGAUUGUUCACCCGCCAACAGAGAACGUGAGCUGGGUUUAGACCGUCGUGAGACAGUUUAGUUUUACUCUACUGAUGAUUAGUCAUUGCGACAGUAAUCCUGCUCAGUACGAGAGGAACCGCAGGUUCGGACAUUUGGUUCACGCACUCGGUCAAGCGGCCGGUGGUGCAAAGCUACCAUCCGUGGGAUUAUGCCUGAACGCCUUUAAGGCCGUAUCCUCUCUAGUCAAAGGUGGCAAUGAUAUAUCUAAGAAUCUCGUGAGUAAAAGGCUCAAAACAAUGUGACACUACUAGGCGGCCGGUUGC
rnacentral:ncRNA from 1 species